UCAAAAACAUGUCCUUAUGAUGGAAUAUAAGGUCUGGCCUGCCCACUGAAAUAUUUAAAGGGCCGCGGUAUACUAACCGUGCGAAGGUAGCAUAGUCAAUAGUCUCUUAAUUGGGGGCUUGAAUGAAUGGUCGGAUAUAAGGAGAUCUGUCUUCAAUCGAUAGGUAUGAAUUUAACUUUUAUGUGAAAAGGCAUGAAUAGACUAUGGGGACGAUAAGACCCUAUAAAACUUAAUAGCUAAUUGGGAUUCUUCGAUUUGUGGGUAAGGGGAGUCUAUUAAGGGUAUUGUGCUGGGGCGGCAGGAAUAUAACACGUAACUGUUCUUUAUAUUAAAUAGUCGUUAUUAGAGUUUGAUCCUAAAAUUUGGGUUAUAAGAUCAAGUUACUUUAGGGAUAACAGCGUUAUUUCUCUUGAGAGUUCAUAUCGACAGGGAUGUUUGCGACCUCGAUGUUGAAUUAAAGUUUUUCCUGGGAGUAGAAGUUCAGGUAAUAAGUCUGUUCGACUUUUAAAGCUUUACAUGAUUUGAGUUCAAACCGGUGUGAGCCAGGUUG
rnacentral:rRNA from 1 species